GGGUGCAUGGUCUAGUGGUAUGAUUUUCGCUUUGCAUUUUCUAGUCAGAUGCGCUAUUGUGAAAGGUCCUGGGUUCAAUCCCCAGUGCAUCCA